CCUUUCCUCUCGUGACAGUUCUAAGUCCUGGUGAACAAAGGAGCCUGUCGGAGGCUGGCAUCUUGGACCGAAUGCGCAUCACUCAAACUAGCAGUCUGGGAACCACGGGACUGUGAGCAGCAGAUGCUCAGGCGAGUGAGUAGUGUGGAAACAGUGGAACUGGAAGGAAGUUCGUGAAGCAGGAAUCUGGGGAAGCAUAAGACAGAUAGGUAAGCAGACCUGAGUCUGCAAGUUCUCCAGGGACUUCAUGAAAACGGCUACUCCUGUACCCAGAAAUGCUCUAGAGCUUGGCCUCCCUCACAGAGGCUGCUGCUUCAGCUGUCCUGGGUGGCUCCUCUCUUCCCCUCAGCAGCUGGUUGUUCUUAUUCAGCAUCUCGGAAGUCAGUGAGGACAUAGCCAAGAAGGUUGUAAAGAAGUGCUACUAGUCUAUUCUCCUGGAAGGGUGAUUCAUCCAGUCUCCAGGGAGUGACCUUGCAGAAGGACUUCACCUCCUGAGAUCAUACACUCUGUGUGUCCGCUCCAAGCAGGAAUCCUAGCAGGAAGGCGGUGGGCCCUGCACUGGCUGAAUUUGUCUUGGUCCACUUUUCCUGUGUUUCCUGAAAGCUCCACAGGUGGUGGCCAACUGUGACCUGAGUUUUUCCUGUA